AAGGCCGAGUUCCUCGAUCUGACAUACUACUAGUUUUCCUUUUCUAACAGCUUUGACGUAACCAAAAAUGGUGACCGCCUUCUCGCUCCGCGCCCCAUUAUUCCCUCUCUACGCCUUCAAUUUCAUCUAGGGUUUCUUUGUCACUUGUCUAUUCUACUCUGACGCUUUCUCCUAAUAUAAGCGCUGCCGCGUAUGUCGAUUGCAUUUGUUUCCGUGUAUUCUUUGAAACCUUGUUUUUGAGGGAAAAAAACUGAACGAGAUGAAGACAUCGCUGAAGAAAUUGCAAAAAUUUGCUUCGCAUAGGCACGAUAGAAGAGCGCAAAAGCAGCACCAAUCCGUGUCUCUAGAUGAGCACGCUCGAGCUACUCAGGACAUGAUUGAUAUGAGAGACUGCUAUGAUAGGCUACUGUCAGCUGCAGCCGCAACUGCAAACAGUGUAUAUGAAUUUUCAGAAUCAUUAAGGGAGAUGGGUGAUUGUCUUCUUGAAAAAACAGCCCUGAAUGACGACGAAGAAAGUGGGAAGGUAUUAUUAAUGCUAGGGAAAAAACAGUUUGAACUUCAGAAACUUAUUGAUGGUUAUAGAACACAUAUAUUUCAGACAAUCACAAUCCCAUCAGAGUCUCUUCUAAAUGAACUUCGGAUUGUAGAGGAGAUGAAGAGGCGAUGUGAUGAAAAAAGAGAACUAUAUGAUGAUUUGCUGAACAAACAAAAAGAAAAAGCGAGGUUAAGGAACAGUAAAAGCGAACAUUUUCAUUCUCCUCAGCUUCAAGAAGCCCAUGAUGAAUAUGACGAAGAGGCAAAUGUUUUUGUCUUUCGCAUGAAAUCCCUAAAACAAGGGCAAUCCCGUAGUUUUCUAACACAGGCAUCUAGGCAUCAUGCUGCACAGUUGUACUUCUUCAAGAGGGCAGCAAGAUCUUUGGAGGCAAUUGAGCCACAUGUCAGGUUGCUUGCUGAACAGCUACAUAUUGAUUACCAUUUUAGCGGACUCCAAGAUGAUGGACGUGAAAUUCUUGAUGAUGAUGAUGAUGAUGAUGACGACGAUGAUGAAAGUGAUGGGGAUGAUGAUACCGAAGAUGGUUCUGAAAUGCAUGAUGCAGAAUUGAGUUUUGACUAUGGACAAAAUGGUCAACAGCAAGAAGUUCCUGCAUCAGAAAACUCAAUGGAGUUGGAUAAUGCUGAUGUGAAGUUCUCUCCUGACCUUAAAUUGGGCCCUGCAAAGGAGAUCUUACAAGCUCCUCGCCAAAAUCCUCUCUCUCUCUCCGCACCUCUCUUUCAGAGAGGGGCCGGAGCGGUCAGCAAAUCCGCACCUCUCUUUCCUCAAAGAAAACUUGAUUCAGCUGAGCGAACAGCACAGAUGGGACCUUCACCAUCACGUAAGUUCUCUUCUUAUGUACUACCCACUCCAGAUGAGACAAAAACUCCAAGAUCUGGGAAAUUAUUUAGUGAAGCUCCUCAAACAAGACUAGCAGACUCCAACCUUCGCCAUUCAUCUCCCAUCAAUCAGAACAAGUAUGAAAGACUUGGGGAAAAAGAUAAAUUGUCUGGUCCCAUCAUCUUAGACACACAAUCAGUACUCAAAGAGAGCAACACCACCAUAAAAGCUAGUGUCUUGCCCUCUCCAUUAUCAGAAGGCCUUUCAUUUACUCGACUUGAUCCAAAUUUAGCGUCCAAUGCUAAGAAAGCUAAAAGACAAGCGUUCUCUGGCCCAUUAACUGGAAAGCCAUGGUCAAAUAACCCAAAGUUAACAGCCAGUGGUCCCAUUGUCUCAUCAGCCUUCCCUCCCUCAUUUUCUGGAUCCUUAUUGCGCACCCCGAUGCCUCGGCCAACAUCAAACCCAAAAUUGUCUUCACAUGUUUCAACCAAUUUUGUGUCCUCGCCUAAGAUAAGUGAACUUCAUGAGCUUCCUCGACCACCAGCUCAUAUGGCUGCUACAAGGCACCCAAAUCGCUUUGCUCAUUCGGGCCCCUUAAUAUCGAAAAGAAAUGAGAUGUCUGCUACUCGUGUAUCAACAUCGUCUAUAGCAGCAUCCAGACUCCCAACCCCGCCCCAGGGAUUAUCACGCAGCUACUCAAUUCCAGUUGGAGGUUCGAUGGAAGCAGCAUUGCGCAUUCCUCUAAGAGGUUCUCAAUUGAAGAUGAAAGAAGAUAGUUCUUCACCUCCCCCAGCCUUGCCAAAUACCCAACCAUCAUCUAGGUGAUUAGCCAGCAAGUCACGUAAAAGGUAAUUGUAAAUUUAUCAGCCCAGCUACAUAUGCAUCUUAAUAUUGAUUGUCAAAUAAGGUAAACUUCUAAUUAGGUUACAGCAAAUUAGCAACAGCUGUUUAGGGCAGAGCAUAGGAUGCAAAUGGUUUCACUCAGCAAACUCUAACCAAGUAUUCAAAUUCAUAUCCAUUUUUUAAUGCUUGUAGUCAGCAAUUAACAUAUCUAUUAUAUAUAUGUUGGUGUUUUGACAGGAAAAUGUAUUUACGUGUUUGAAUCUCUAAUACUAAUAUAGAAACUAGCUUGGAAAUAAUAAUGGUGUUCUCAUAUCUGUCUUUGACUAAGUGUGGAUGUCUGAAAGAAAUAUAAGGAGGAUUCACAAGAAUAAAUAGCUGCAUAAUGAAAAAUGUCUACAAGCAGAGAGGAGAUUGAUGUAAUUAUCAUGCUAUAAUUAAGUAUAAAUGUGCCUAUAGCUUUAAUUAUGAGCUGGUGAAUAGAAGCAUUGAAUUGGGAUGCUGACUGCUGAGAGCCUUCAGUUUAAUGAGCCACAGCUUCGCUUUUUACUUUUUAGUUGGUAAAUUUUUGCAUGAGUCAUCUGAUUUGGUUAGUGUGUGAAUUGGGUGGAUGUCCAGUACUUGUAUAUUGGAAAUUUGAUCAGGUUCUGCCAUUUGCUAUCAUAUCUCAUAUUAGACCCAUAGACACAUGCCAAGUGUAUUAAACUAUAGCUUGAAUACAAACUUGACUUGUAUGGUUAAGUGGAAUAUGAUAUAAAUAUUCCAAUUGCUACAUAAUCCACUAGUGGUUCCCUUUUGCUUAAUAUAGUUCAAAUAUAUCCUCUGGUAGACCUGGGCACUCUUAUGUUCACUAUUUUCCAUUGGGAAUCAUGGUCCCAUUUUUCAUAUCAAGCAUAUGAUGGACUGCAGAGAAUUAUAUAUUUUCAAGACUCAAGUAUGAAUCAGAUUUGCAGGUGAUUUGAAGACGGGGAUAUAGCUGCAGUGUUCAUCCGUCGCACAGACCAUGUGAAUAGCUUACUAGUUAGUCCUUGAAAUUUUGUUAGUCAUGUAAAAAGUACCACUAAUUUUGUUGAAAUUUUGCUUGGUUGUCGAACAAAACUCGUAAUUUCGUAACAUAAUGGAUGAGCAGUAACAGAUCUUGAAAUGAAUAAA